rnacentral:rRNA from 1 species
AUGAACGCUGGCUACAGGCUUCACACAUGCAAGUCGAGGGGAAACGACGGGGAAGCUUGCUUCCCCGGGCGUCGACCGGCGCACGGGUGAGUAACGCGUAUCCAACCUGCCUCUGACUGAGGGAUAACCCGUCGAAAGUCGGCCUAAUACCUCAUGGCAUCGUCUGCGGGCAUCCAACGACGAUUAAAGAUUUCAUCGGUCAGAGAUGGGGAUGCGUCUGAUUAGCUUGUUGGCGGGGUAACGGCCCACCAAGGCGACGAUCAGUAGGGGUUCUGAGAGGAAGGUCCCCCACAUUGGAACUGCGACACGGUCCAAACUCCUACGGGAGGCAGCAGUGAGGAAUAUUGGUCAAUGGGCGAGAGCCUGAACCAGCCAAGUAGCGUGCAGGAUGACGGCCCUAUGGGUUGUAAACUGCUUUUAUGCGGGGAUAAAGUGAGGGACGUGUCCUUCAUUGCAGGUACCGCAUGAAUAAGGACCGGCUAAUUCCGUG